UACGUAGGGUGCGAGCGUUGUCCGGAAUUAUUGGGCGUAAAGAGCUCGUAGGCGGUGUGUCACGUCGGCCGUGAAAACCUGCAGCUUAACUGUGGGCGUGCGGUCGAUACGGGCAUCACUGGAGUUCGGCAGGGGAGACUGGAAUUCCUGGUGUAGCGGUGGAAUGCGCAGAUAUCAGGAGGAACACCGGUGGCGAAGGCGGGUCUCUGGGCCGAUACUGACGCUGAGGAGCGAAAGCGUGGGGAGCAAACAGG
rnacentral:rRNA from 1 species